GUCCAGCUGAUGAGUUGCAAAUAGGACGAAGUGUCGCACGUCCUGGAU
rnacentral:hammerhead_ribozyme from 1 species